AACGACCACAUCUCAACGAAGGGAUGUGAAUCCGGUCGUUAUAAGUAUACCUACAGCGACUAUAGAUUUUUGCAGUCGUUAAAGUCAAAUAUUUGCUUAAAAACAGCGAAGGGAUAAUAUCUGGUCAAUAAAAACCAAAAAAUCCUGUCGUUAUUUCCAACACAUGAAUAAAAAAAGAGCGCCAGGCUUCUUUACAUUUCCCACAUUUUUUUCUAAAAUGUUUCUGCCCCUUCUAUGCCAAAAUCCCUAACUGCCACCUCCCAUCUCUUUUAGGUCCUGAUACCUUGCACUUCAGUAUUUCGAAUCCAACUCCAAAAUAGGAGGAAGCUCACACGGUUUUGGUGAAGAUUAUUAUGUAUGACAGAGGCAUGUCUAAGGGCCUUUAGUUUGCCUUCUCUGGUCUAAGGGCACUACCAAAUAAACGAGAUAUGUUCAUUUUUUUGCUAGUUUUUGGUUAAUUCUUCAGUAUCUGAAUGAAUUAGUGUUUGUCUAUCUGUGAGAAGUUGUGGCUCUCCCUCUAAUGUCACAUUAUUCAGGUUUGUUAAAGUUGAUAAUUUUUCCCUAGUGUGAAAUGGAUUGGUUUUGUUUAAUUGAACUAUUUCAGUCUGAUGAUUUUUUUUUGUAUGUGUGUUUAUUGUCCAAUUUGAGGCCAAUUCUCGGUUCUGUGUAUUUGUUGUACGCUGUGGAAAAUUUGAUUUUUUCCUUUUGGAAUUUGGUAUGCUGAAUAUUUUUUCUAGAAAUAGUGGAGUAUGCAUGUCUGCAGAUGCAUUUGCCUUAAAGGGCAGAAUAGUAAAUUGUGAGGGUUGUCUUCUAAGUUCAUUCAUCUUUAAUUUGUGAAGAAAGGACUGUAUAUUUAUGCGCUCAAAUCUCUUUACUUUACUCUAAUAUCAUAAUGCCUUGAAUCCUGGGCACUUUCCAAUUUUGCGAAACAGUAGAUUGAUAGAUAUCUCAUAUGAUUUUAAAAAAUGAAGAUUUUCAUGAUAUUCUUUGGAUAAGUAACUGAAAUUUCUUUUGAAUUAAUAUGGAAAAUUUUGUUCUUAACCUCUGUGUGGUUCUAUAAAUCUAUUAUAUUUGAAUGAAUGAGAAGUCUAGGAAAGAUCCCAAGAGGGUUAUGAGUUGUAUUUACCAUCCGCAAAAUUGAGUGUCAAUAUAUUAAGCCUUUGAAAGCUAUUAGAUAGCCUCUUUACUAUUUAAAAGAUGCGUGUGUUCUAAUUAGUACUAGCUUGAUGUAAGAUAAGAAGUGACUUUUAGCAUAUUAACACUAGAGUGGAACUUGUUUCAGAGAUUGUAGUUAGAGGUAUGUACACAUAAUUGGUGAAACAAUACGAAACAAUACGAAUUCUAAACAAGUAAAGUUUAACGUAGUGUGAAAGUGUUUCCCAUUUCUUUCUUGUUGGUGCAUCAUGUUAGGUUACAUGUUAAUUUCUUUAUGUUCAUUGCUUUUUCAUAUAAUCCUCAAUCAUUCAGCACUUAGUUAAUUAUUUAUGGUUGUUGUAACUCAUCAACAUGGAGAAAUCAGAGUAGUUUAGAUGCUAAAAUGGUGCCACCGCCUAAUUUUCAUUGUGUUCUAUCAAACUAAACCAUUAAAUUUGGAAGGACAGAAAAGUAAUAAAAUAUAGCGAGCAACGAUCAAAUUUAUAACAUUCUGUAAUAGCCAAAAUGCUUCAGAAACUUCCACAGGUUCCAAAAAGCUCCUUCAAGCCAGCAAAGAAUGUCAAAAGUCUGGUCUACUUGGAUUGUUGUGUUCAUGUCAUUUCAUUUCACUAAAAUGUAUUUUAACACUUACCAUAAUCAAUGAAGUUUAAAUUUGGACUCUCCUAAGUUUGUUGGACAGUAAAAGUAUUUCUAUUAGUUAAAAUCUUAUAAGGUGUUUUUGUUUCUUAUCUUUAUCACUUUUCUACCUUUGCAUAAUAGUAAUUACAGACAUUAUUGAAACGCAAAACUGAAUGCUUGAAGUAUGAAUGAUAGAGAGAGGAGUCUAGUAGUUUAAGUAAUUCGAGUUCAAGCUAAGGAUCUCUAAAAUGAACAAUAAUUUGUUUUCCUAUAUUCAUUUUUUAUUGUAUUUUCUCUGUGUAAAUAUAUGAGCAGGCAAUAAUUUAUUGAAGUUUGAAAUUUCAGCUAUGCAGAUUAAAUUCCUUACACUAUUUAUGUCUGUUCAGCUUCAUGAUCAACUGCAAAAUAGAUAGAUGCAUGGAGGAAUUUUUUUCUCCAACGAUAGCUCUCAGGUUGGUAUAUACAUAUCUCCAUUCACUAUAUGAGUUGCUUCACGUUAUUUCUUGAAUACCAAAUUUUACAUACUUUAAUUGAAUAAAAGUUUCUCAAUCGAGAAAUCCUCUGUGGCUAUGAAGUCGUUCUGCAAGCGCUCGUCUGAUUGCUUGGAGAUGCAUUUACUGUCCUUUGACAUAAACAUUAGGAAACAUAAGAUCUUUCGUAGAUGCAGAUGUUUUUGGAUACUCAAGCAGUAAAGACUAUUUUGCUGGAAGGUCCUUCCCUCUGAAAACAAGUAAGAUUUCCAGCAUUUCAGAAGUGUAGAUCCUUCUUUUGUUUUCUUUUUCUUUUCUUUUUUGUUGUGUGUUUUAUUAAAUUUUAAACUGGCAUUUUGUCCCCAGCACUUUCAUCCUCUUUAACAUUUCCAUUUUUAUACCUUGAGGCAAGCACAUGUUUUCACUUUAUUCCUGAAGUAAGAUUCAGUUUCGAUGAAAUAAAGUGACUAAUAGUUGAAACUGUCAAUAUGAUUGGUCCUAGAAAGCUAAACAAGCAAAGGUGACUGUUGCUUGUUCGAAAUAUUUAGUCUCCUGAUGAAUAUGAAACUACAUUGUUACAGAAAAAGUAGUUAUAAUAUCUCUAAAUCCAUCGCAGAAAGUCUUCUCUAUUGUCACUAGUAUCAGAGGCUAGAUACGCCUUUGACUAGUAUUUUAUGCGCUGAGUUUGCCUUCUUGAAAUAAUUGGCUCCACCAAAAGCCUUUAUGCCAACUCUCUAAAUGCCCUCGGUACAAUAGUUUAAAACAAGAAUAUUGGCUUAAACUUUUUUGAGCUUCUCCAAUUUGUACAGAUAGUAGGUCGCUAGCUAUUCAAAAUUUGUUAGUUGUGAGAUGAGCAAAGCAGAAGCAUUAUUGAAGGCCAGUGAUUGAUGAGUGCUUGUCUGAAAUGAGGCUCUUGUAUUCCUUCCUCUGGAUAGUAUACUGACUUUGCUUUGUGAAAUAGUUCAUACUGUCUCCAAUAGAUUCUGCGGCGGAUACAUACUGUGCGCAGCUGCCAGAGGGAACGCUCUCAGAGUUUCAACGUCUUUUGGAGCUAAGAGUUUCUCUUAGUCAUACACUCUAUGGCAGAAGACGACUACAUACGUUACAGGAUUCUCUUGAAACAAAGUUGGGAAACACUAAAGGUUGUGGCUAAAGUGUACUUGUAUCCUAAGUAGAAUAAACUACUCAGCGACGUGCAUAUUUAUCCACCUACGCUGUAUAUGCUUUAUCGAUACAAUGCUCCAAUUAAGAAUUUGAAAGUUGAAGAACUGACGUGCACCUGAAGAGAGUGAAGCACAGAUGAGCAAGUGAAAAUGAAAGAACAAGUUGAAGCGCAAUACAAGCCUAACUUCUGUUUUGUUAGGAGUUAUUUGAAGAUGUUCUCAUUUGUACAUGCGACAAUUUUAUUCUCUUUUAUUAGUAGUUGAUACUAAAAUGUCAUAUUUUUUUU